rnacentral:rRNA from 1 species
ACCCCGCAUUCGCCCUGCACGUGCCUACACAUGCAAAUCGAAUGAAAGAAUUAAUUAUUGUUUUCAUGGUGAACGGGUGAGUAACACAUAAGAAUCAGCUUUUAGAUAAGGCAUAAAAGAGUAAUAUCUUGGUAAUUCCUUAUAUGCGCAGCAGUGCUUAAAAAGGGGAGUCCCGUCUAAAAACGAGCUUAUGCCUGAUUAGCUAGUUGGCGAGUUAAAAGCUCACCAAGGCGAAGAUCAGUAGCUGGCCUGAGAGGGCGGCCAGCCACAUUGGGACUGAGACACGGCCCAAACUCCUACGGGAGGCAGCAGUGGGGAAUCUUCUGCAAUGGGCGCAAGCCUGACAGAGCGGCGUCGUGUGAAGGAAGAAGGCCUGAAAUAGGUUGUAAACUUCUUUUACUGAAUAAUGAAUAAUGACAACGCAGUAAAAAAGUAUCGGCUAACUCCGUGCCAGCAGCCGCGGUAAUACGGGGGAUGCAAGCGUUAUCCGGAAUCACUGGGCGUAAAGCGUCUGUAGGUGGUUUAGUGUGUUCUUAGUUAAAUUCUGAAGCCUAACUUCAUGAAAAGUAAGAAAACUAUUAGACUUGAGUACGAUAGGGGUAAGAGGAAUUCUUCGAGAAGUAGUGAAAUGCGAAGAUACGAAGGAGAAGAUCAUAAGCGAAGGCUUCUUACUGGGUCGUAACUGACACUGAGAGACGAAAGCUAGGGGAGCGAAUGGGAUUAGAUACCCCAGUAGUCCUAGCUGUAAACGAUGGAUAUUCGGUGCCGGAAAUUUUAUUAGAACAUUUCGGUACCCUAGCUAACGCGUUAAAUAUCCCGCCUGAGGAGUACGCUCGCAAGGGUGAAACUCAAAUGAAUUGACGGACGAC